GGUGAACGCUGGCGGCGUGCCUAAGACAUGCAAGUCGAGCGGGGCAGGUUUAUACCUGUUCAGCGGCGGACGGGUGAGUAACGCGUGGGUGACCUACCCGGAAGAGGCGGACAACCUGGGGAAACCCAGGCUAAUCCGCCAUGUGGUCCUGUCCUGUGGGGCAGGACUAAAGGGUGGAUAGCCCGCUUCCGGAUGGGCCCGCGUCCCAUCAGCUAGUUGGUGGGGUAAAGGCCCACCAAGGCGACGACGGGUAGCCGGUCUGAGAGGAUGGCCGGCCACAGGGGCACUGAGACACGCGCCCCACUCCUACGGGAGGCAGCAAUUAGGAAUCUUCCGGAAUGGACGGAAGUCUGACGGAGCGACGCCGCUUGGAGGAGGAAGGCCUUCGGGGUGUAAACUCCUGAACUGGGGACGAAAGCCCUGUGUAGGGGGAUGACGGUACCCAGGUAAUAGCGCCGGCCAACUCCGUG
rnacentral:rRNA from 1 species